UCAGAGAAAAACGUUAAUGUGGAUUCCCUUGCUCUGAUGGGAAAUUGUCUUGCAGUGGGUUAACUCAGGGAGUCAUCUGGCUUCGCAAAAGUGGGGAUGAGGAGGGUUGCAUGCUGAAAGGGAAGAGGGUUUGUAACCCAGGUAGAGCUUUAUGCAUUUUAGUCAGUGGGGAGAAGAAAGGGACCUGAAUUUCAAUUUAAAACAAAAAUGAAACUCCUUUACUUCUUCCUUCGGCCAGCAACCUCCAAAAAGGAGGGAGGGCAGAGAUGGCCCCUUUCACGGGGCAGAGCCAGGACACUUGGCUGUGCUGGAGCAGUAAAUAUCAAGGUGGUGGUUCCCCUGUGAUUUUCCACUCUAAACUCAGUAAAUUUGGCUCACACGUUGUUUUUUGGGAUAUGCCCACGGCUGUGCCAGCACUUUUUGCAGCUCACAGCUCCGACUGAUGGGAGAUGUCGGUCCCACGUCAGUCUGGACACCCACGAAAGCUGAGCUCAGCUGCAAAACAGCAAGUUUGGGCUAAUCCCUCUCCUAGCACAGUAUAUCCCUCUCAUGUAUACGCUGCUGCUCUCUAAUAGUAUUAAUAAUUCUCCCUUUAUUUCUCAUUCAAACACUCUUGGAAGGAUCAUCCAAUUUAAAUCACAGCUUCUCUAGUUAGAGUGUGUCACCACGAGAGGGCAAUAAAUCAUCUAAUUACAAUGAUGGAGCUGGUGUCUUUUCACAAAGCCACCCAUGAUGAACUUAAAUGGAUUUUAAACAUUAAUAUAAUAGGCAUUUAGUAAAGAAUGGGAAAGAAAAAGAACAUUUUAAACAAGCCAGCAGGUUCCCCUGAAUGUAUUUGGGAUGCGGGGCUUGGAUUGGCCACCAAAACCAUCCUGAUGUGCAGUGAGACGCUGGAAUUAAAACCCAGGAAGGGAGUCCUGCCUCUUUGAGAUGCUAAUUCAGGUAAAAGCUCAUUUUGAGGAGAGCAGACGUACUGACCCUAAUGAUGCAGAGCUAUUUGGAGAGCUAAUGGAGGGUUACUAAUUUCAAAGCAUAUCAGUCUCAUAAAAAGUGAAAGAAGAUGGUUCUUUACUCAACUGUCCUGAGGGAUGUCUGGGAGUUAACUGGUCCCUUCCUGAGCCAGCUGCUGGCUCCAUGGCCAAAAUGUUCUGCCACUUCCACUGCUGGGGCUUGGCCCUGUGAAAGUCACUCUGUACCCCAGGGCGAUGUUGUCAGGAAUGGGGAUGGAAAGUUUUGUGCUCUGAACCACGACCACUCUAACCCAGGGGGGUAUUUUUGCUGUAAAAUGGCCCCAUUCUUUGCUUUUUCCCUUAGGGCGGUGUAGCAUGAUCUUGGUGGGUGUUUUGUGGCUCCCAUUGGCACGUCCCCAAAUAAGGGCACUGGUGGUGGCAUGAGCAGUUUGUUCCCACCUCCUUUGGGAUGGACACUUGUGGUGACCUUAACUGGUUGCUGGUCAUGAGCUGCUGGAGAAGUGAGGGUGGAAGAUGUCCCCGAGUCACACAACUUUAGCAAAACCUUGUCUUGGCGUUCAUUAGUCUCUGAUGGGUGUCCCACUUUCUCAACGUUCCCAGUCUUCCCAGCUCCUAAAAAGGGUCUGCUUAGUGACAAAGAAUCUGAUUACAACUCAUUACUUAGCUGGGAUCCCAGGAAGCAGACAAGUCUGCCUUUAAUCCCCACUGAUGGGGAAAUCCCAGACUCUGUCUUGGCCUUGUCUCAGCCGUGUCAUCAGCCUAUGGGGCAGCAUCAUCUGCUCAAGAGGUUUGGGGGUUUUUAAGAGCAGAAAUACAAGAUGUCCCUGGCAUAUUUGGGUCAUUUAGUCUCUUCUCCUGCUUGGCUGGAUGAGAUGCUUCGCUGUUACAGAAUCACAGAAUCACGAGGUUGGAAAGGACCCACUGGAUCAUCGAGUCCAACCAUUCCUAACACUCCCUAAACCAUGUCCCUCAGCACUUCAUCACCCGUUCCUUAAACACCUCCAGGGAAGGCGACUCGACCACCUCCCUGGGCAGCCUCUGCCAGUGCCUCCUGUGGAGCUUGGAGAGUGGAAGAGGUCAGAGCUUUUGUACAAGAAUCCAAAAUGUUCCUAAUGAACCAAGUUCAGGAAUGAGCUGAUACAAGUCCUCAAGGCUCAGCGCUUCUGGGUACAGUUAGGAGGGAAGAAUUAGACACACAGGUGUAAAACGGAGAAGAGAUGAAGAAGCAAUGGUAUUGGAGGCCAAGUUGUGAAAGCAGAGAAAAUCACAUUCUAAGGCAAAUGUGGCACUAAAGAAAAACUUAAUGUGGGGAUUCAUUAUAAAAAGAGUCAAAUGUGAACCCUGUAGGGAGUUGUCCUGCCUCACGUGCUCCUACCAGGUAUGAGGGAAAGAACCAUGACCAGACUGGGGCUUCAAAACAUUGUAAGCAAAUUGGACAGAGUCCAGAGGAGAGAAACAGAAGUGAUCCUGGGCGGUGACUGGUGAGAGAAGAUUGGCUACAAGCCUCCUGAAGCAGAAUUUGUCCCUCCUGUUCCUUGGGAAAAGGUUCAAGCAGCACUUGAGGCAAAACUGGUUUGAGCUGGGAGAGCAACGAUGUGGUGAAGGGAGCCACCAUUUUGGAGCUUUCCAGAAGUGGGAGCUCCUGGGGAUGGAUUUGGUCGUUGACACCUUCCUCAGCAUCAAAUUCAUGACUACCAGAAGCAAAGCAAACCUGUGAUGGGAGCAUUAUUAACUCCAUCGUGGUGGUGGAGCUGGGAAGUGCUGCUUGCCAUCACCUCUGGAGGUCCCCUGUUGCUUUGUAUCUCUUCAAGAACAAUGCUGACGAUUAGCCUUAAACCACAACAAAAAGCAAGGAAGCCGAUAUUAUUCUGCCAACAAGACCUACAGCACAGGUGAUGCUUCAAUGUUAUCAAGAAGAGAGAACCUGCAGGCAGGAGAAAGCUUCAGGAGAGGACACAUCUGCUGUAAAUAAAUAAUAGAGAUCAAAGAAAGCCCAUGCUACAAGUUAUUUUGCAAAACAAGGGGCUGGUGAGAGCCGAGCUCAUCACUUUUUACAGCAAGUACGUGAGAGAGUAAUGAGAUAAACGUCAAGGGUUCACGUACAGAUCUAUUCUCCAUGCAGCGUUGUGCAUGUCUGCGUCAUCAAGGAGGGCACAUGGGUCCUCCUGGAAGCAUUUGUCAGUGGCUUCCACUUGCAUGAGCAACGAGAUGGAGGAGGACAUGAGUGGUGCUGGUGCUGCACACCCUGACAACUUUUGUCCAGCAGUCCUGGACUAAUAUUUCCCAGGCUUUCCCCCAUAUCGUCGCUGUGAGGGCAAGUGAGUUCAGUCCCAAACGGAGCAUGAAAUGGAGGAGGAGGCCAUGGAGACACAGAGCCCAGCCAAGUUCUGCGCUGAUUUUCAUAACUAAUAAAGAUCCGGUAUGAAUAUGAGAUUGAAAGACUCAAAGCUGAUUAAAUCUGUUUGAUAUUUGAGGGUUUUCUUCCCCUCCCUCCCCUUUGUUAAAGGACAGUCUCCUCCUUCAAAGUGAGUGAUGGUCUAAAGUCGUAAUGCCGACUAUUGCUGAGAUUCUCACACCAAUGCGACGGGGAGAAGGGAGGGGGGGGAAUAAAAAUCCCUGUAGGGUAGUUUAAAGUCGGCAUGAGUAGUGUGUAAUCUACCCAACAGGAUUGAUCCAGGUCAGGCAUUAAAGUCUAAAAUGGAUUAAACAAAAGACAUUCCCCUUGUAACAAGAAGGAAAAACUUCAAAGGUGGGAUUUGUUCUUGUUAUGACAAAGGAAGUGGAUUUACCAAGUGCCUGGGGGCACACCCCUCCGCGGCUUUCAAUUUGCUCGACUUGCUAUGAAGAAACAGGACAAAAUGCGUGGGGGUUUUUGCCGCUCGCUUCGGCGCUGCCGGAGCCCUCCCUGGGUCACACCACAGCUGAGGUUGGUGCAGAUCAUUCCCGGCCAGAAGAAAUGCAGCUGUGAGCUGGCACGUCCCCAGUGCUGAGCCUACGGGGAGGAGAGGGGACCUUCAGGGAAACAAAUCUCACCAGGUCUCCAGGUGUGUCUCCCUACGAAACCUGUGAGCAGCUCACGUCAGCGCAGUUGUGUCAUUACAUACAGACGUUAACAAAUAUCCUGGCAUCACCCAGCUGGGCACCACAAAAGACAACCAUGGAUUUCAUCCGAUGCAUCCACGAUCUGGAAAGAGAUUAUUUUUCCUGAUGCUGAGCUGACUUUUCUGACCAUCUCAAUGCAGACGUGGAGUCAAGUGUGGGGUCCCAGGAGGGAAAAGGAGGGGUGAAUCACAUUGUGGCUCUCAGCUCUUCACACAUCUGAGAGCGUAGUGCGCCCCAGCUGAGAACUUCAAUUCACUUAGUGCAAGAUGAGAUGGCAGCUGCUUUGGACUGAUAAAACAAUAAUAAUCGUGAUGAAAUAAUAGGAUUAAUGCCAGCUAUUACUGUUUAACCAAAAGGUCAUUUUGACAGAUGUAACUUUUAUCAGGAAGCAUCAAAAUAUCAGAUACGCUUUUGAUUUUUUUGAGGAGAGGGAACUAAGAAGACAAAAAGAGGACUUCGAACACGACAGGACUUUUCUGGGCUCCUGCAUUUGGCUGGAAGCAGCUCCUGGUCUGCAAACAGCAGCUCUUCAGCUUCGGUGACAUCGUGGCCAAAGCUCCACCGUGACCAGCACCGGGUGCUGCUGCUCCAUUUCAGAAACUCACUCACAAACCAUGUCCCUGUGGCUGAACUCUUAAGAUGUUUAUUUUUCUCUUACAUCACGAAACUGUGGGCAGGUUUCUGACUUCUGCACCAGAAAACACCUACCUGCCUUGUCUUGAAAACCCAAAGCAACAUUGCUUGGGUUCCCAUCUGCCCUCGGUGGCCUGUUGGGUCCCCAUGUGCCUCCCCAGCUCUUCAGGGACUGCACAAGUUCUGCCAACCCUGACUGCUCUGCCCUUCCUCCUGGACCGGCUUACAGCCCACUGGAAGGAUGAUGGAAUUAAACUACAUAUACAUGAAAACAGGUUGUAUAGCUCUGCUCCUUGCUUAGGGCUGUGUCAGAAGGAGAAAAGUUGAUUGAGUCUUUAAUCAUUGAAUCAUUAAUGUUGGAAAAGACCUCUAAGAUAAAGUCCAGAUGUCAGCCCAACACCGCCAUGCCUACUAAAAUUUAUUAAUUUAAUUUAUUUAAUUAAAUUUAAUCGUGUGUCUCCCUUCUGCUGGUGGUUUUGCUGGAUCUCCAGUUCUGUGCUUUCUCUCUGGAGUGUGUCCACGCCCUUCACUGUAACACUGGACUUGCCCAGUGCGUCCCAUAUCCCUCCUGGAGGAGGGACCUUGCUUCAUCCCACUGCUGGGGGACACAGUCUGGGCUCUCCAUCCUUCCUCACUGCCUCAUGGGCUGUGCUUUUUCCCUCCCCUGAAGGUCAGACUGGUGUCCUUGCACCUGCUGUGCAUGUGUAUCCUCACCACCACGGGUACCACGUCCCUGGAGCUCACUGUUGACUUCCCUACAUCACGACAGCUUCCACCCAAACACGCUCUGUCAGCCUCAGGCUACACAUUCCAGAAGCUUCCAGGAUUCUUUGGCAUUCUGGGGCCAGAGUUGGCAGUCCCUCCCUCCCGCCUGCUCACGCUGCCGCCUCCCUGCUCCUGUGGGUGGUUUCUGGCUCGCUGGGUGCGCACCUGCACGCAGAGCCCGGCUAAAACCAGUGCACCCCAGUUCAGCAGGGGGAGCAAUAAAACUGCUUUAUCUUUUGUUUUGCAAGGAAGAGGUGCUUUCCAGUGAAACCCAGAAGUGGGUCUUCUCUUGGCUUUGGUGGCUGAAGUGCGGGACUGUGCUAUUUGCAGCCGAGAAGCUGCUCUCCCACUGCUCCUGGAUCAAAUGCAAACAGGAGCCGUGGGAGGCCAGCCCGGCUCUGACCGUGCGAAUCCAGCUGAGGGAAAGAGACAAAAUCCCCAAAUCUCAAAAUAAGGAAAACAAAGAUAUCCAAGUAAUAAAAUCUGCAAGAAUCACAAAGACAACAUAACUCAGAUCUCAGCUGGCUCAAAGAAAGUGUCCAUUAACAAGGGAUUAGUGGGAGGGAAGUACACAACCAGUCAAUAGGAAGUGAAAACACACCGCACAGUCUCCUAAUAUCACAGUCCAAGGCAGGGUUAGGGUGAAGGCUCUGUUGGGCGAGUUAGAAUAAGGGCUACUUCAGAAAUCUAUCAAAUGAAAAAUCAAGCUCUGCAAAGCCCGACUGUGCUGUGGCGCCUGUUUUUUAAGAAACCUUGAGGACUUGUAGCUCUCAGUUCAAAGAAAAAACAUCCUGUUCUUUCGCCGUGCACACCUGUGCAUCCCUCGCGCGCUGCACUUCACCGUUACAACUCAGAAACAGAGACCCUUUUCUUGUCUUGAGGGCUGUGCAUCUCCUUGCACAGCUGGGUCUGGUCUGGACUUGGACCUUUCAGAUGUCCUCGUAACACAAAUAGGAAUAAAAAAUGAACGAACUGUUCUCCCUACUGCUGUUUUCCAGCUAGUCCAGACGGGUCCAGACCUCUUCUUUCCCUAAACUUCAUUGAAAUCAGAUAUCCUUUGAAAGUCACUGCAGGAUUGUGGAGUAUUUCUUAAAAAGCGGGACAGGAGAAAUGUAAUUUUGUCUUCUGUGUAAUUAAAA